GUGUUUGCUUCGGCAACACAUAUAUUAAAAUUGGAACGAUACAGAGAAGAUUAGCAUGGCCCCUGCGCAAGGGGCAAUUCGUGUUUUUGUUUGAGCGUAAGUUUUC